rnacentral:rRNA from 1 species
GAAUUCGCCCUUAGAGUUUGUUCCUGGCUCAGGACGAACGCUGGCGACGUGCUUAACACAUGCAAGUCGAACGAAGCUUGAUGAUUGAUUUCUUCGGAAAGAAAUUUGAUAUGACUGAGUGGCGGACGGGUGAGUAACGCGUGAGCAACCUGCCCUUCAGAGGGGGAUAGCGUCUGGAAACGGACGGUAAUACCGCAUAACGUACAAAGGCCGCAUGACCAUUGUACCAAAACUGAGGUGCUGAAGGAUGGGCUCGCGUUGGAUUAGAUAGUUGGUGGGGUAACGGCCUACCAAGUCGACGAUCCAUAGCCGGACUGAGAGGUUGAACGGCCACAUUGGGACUGAGACACGGCCCAGACUCCUACGGGAGGCAGCAGUGGGGAAUAUUGCACAAUGGGGGAAACCCUGAUGCAGCAACGCCGCGUGAAGGAAGACGGUUUUCGGAUUGUAAACUUCUGUUCUUAGUGAAGAUAGUGACGGUAGCUAAGGAGCAAGCCACGGCUAACUACGUGCCAGCAGCCGCGGUAAUACGUAGGUGGCAAGCGUUGUCCGGAAUUACUGGGUGUAAAGGGAGCGCAGGCGGGGAGCCAAGUCAGCUGUGAAAACUACAGGCUUAACUUGUAGACUGCAGUUGAAACUGGUUUUCUUGAGUGAAGUAGAGGUUGGCGGAAUUCCGAGUGUAGCGGUGAAAUGCGUAGAUAUUCGGAGGAACACCGGUGGCGAAGGCGGCCAACUGGGCUUUAACUGACGCUGAGGCUCGAAAGUGUGGGGAGCAAACAGGAUUAGAUACCCUGGUAGUCCACACUGUAAACGAUGA